GAUAAACGCUGGCGGCGUGCAUGAGACAUGCAAGUCGAACGAAGGAUCGGGCUUGCUCGAUCCUUAGUGGCGGACGGCUGAGUAACGCGUAGGUGACCUACCCCGAAGUGGGGAAUAACUGCCCGAAAGGGUGGCUAAUACCGCAUGUGGUCGCACGUUCAUUCGUGCGAGUAAAGCCGCAAGGCGCUUCGGGAGGGGCCUGCGUCCGAUUAGCUCGUUGGUGGGGUAAUGGCUUACCAAGGCGACGAUCGGUAGGUGGUCUGAGAGGACGAUCACCCAGACUGGGACUGAGACACGGCACAGAAUCUUACGGGAGGCAGCAGUCGGGAAUUUUGCUCAAUGGGGGAAACCCUGAAGGAGCAACGCCGCGUGAGGGAUGAAGGCCUUCGGGUUGUAAACCUCUUUUGUCAGGGACGAUGAUGACGGUACCUGGCGAAUAAGCCACGGCUAACUACGUG
rnacentral:rRNA from 1 species